UUUCUUAUGAUGGCAAAAGAAAAGGCUGAAGUCCUACCUAAUCCAAAUCACACCAUCCUAGUGAGAUGGAAUUAUCUCAGUUUACAAGAGAGGAUUGAUCCUAAUGGUGUCUGCCUGAAGCUCUCAGGUAGAGAAAAGCUUGAGCUAUAAUGACAGUGUGCAGAAUGACCCAUAUUGCCUUUUGGCUAAGUGCUACUUCUAGCAAGCUUUAGAAGUUUAUCAUCACUAUAUGGUAAUUAUGAAUUUUCUCAGACACAAAGAAUUAUGGCUUUUAUCACUGGCUCAUGCCAAAUCUAAGUUCUUAAAAGAAAUCAGCCCAAAGCAGGUGCACAGAGCUGUCAGACCUUGAAAUUUGUUUUGAAACCAACCACCUGUUAGUGUAAUUGUGUAGCUGUUUUUCCUGGCUUAUGGGAUUUUAGUUCAGCUGUUGUUCUCAUGCUAACGCUUAUUUCCUCUAGGAAUCAGCCUGUCUGUUUACGCAAACUUACAAAUUUCUAUGUGACUGUCUUCACAGCCUGAUUCAAUGCAUACAUGCACGAUGUCUGUUGUAGCACCUUUACCCAACAAUACACUUUGUUUACAAACUAGCUCACACUGCUUUAGGAAAAUGUCUGAAAAACAGCAUUUACCAUCCUGUGUGUCACAUUGAAUCACUUAGAUGACUCGACUCUGUUUCUUGUUUGUUUUAGACAGCAACAAAGAACUUUCAGUGGAUGAUCUCAAAGAUCAGAUUUUAUGUGGGUGCCUGACUCACAUUUUACUGAUAACAGAGCACUGUUCCUACAGCUGAAAGAAAGUUCUUAGUCAGGAUUUCUACUGAAACCUUCUGUUUCUAACAGUUUACAGCUUCACCAAAAGCCAGCUCUGGGUUAGAAGUUAUCAAAGACACUCAGUGCAGAGGAACACUCAAUCAAAAAAUCUGAUAGAAGAAGUCUGCUUACAUGUGAGAUAAAAGCCUAAAAAUUAUUAUUAGAAAUACGACGGCUUAAGAUGCUUUUUGUAAAUGAGCAAUGGCGUCUAAGAAAUAACAAUGGGCUUGCACUUAAGGGGCUAGUCAGAACUGCGGUUCCUUUAUGCUCCAGAUUGCUGUUUUCAGCCUCCUUUGGACAGGAGCCACCUCAGAAAAAGAAUUGGGCACUUGGGUCAAAACAAUAGAUGAGCUGUUCAUGGAACGUCUCCCGGCACACUCAUUCCGAGUCAUCCUGCAGCUCCACACUGCCCUCCAGGGAAGGCUGUCACCAAAGUCAAAAAAACUACAUGUCUUUUUCCUUUUUGUUAUCCAAGAGGAACAUGGGUUGUGGCCUGUUGAGAAUCAUACAAGAACAUCAUUCCAUAAAUUAAUAUGGAAAGGAAAAAUCAAGUGCAACCUUUUAUUUAAUAUAGGCGUGCUUUGCAGCAUCCAAAAGAAGAGAAAUCUUCAAAAUCCCUUUCCAUGACAACGAGUAAUUGCAUACUGGAAAGUACACUACUGUGGCAAUAAAGCUGAAUUCCCAGAAGACCUCUCAGAGACAC
ensembl:lncRNA